rnacentral:rRNA from 1 species
AGAGUUUGAUCCUGGCUCAGAAUGAACGCUGGCGGCGUGCCUAACACAUGCAAGUCGAAUGUGCCGCAAGGUGCAUGGCAGACGGGUGAGUAACGCGUAGGGAAUCUACCUUUUAGUGGGGAAUAAUGCUCCGAAAGGAGUGGUAAUACCGCAUGAGACCGUAGUCUGGGAUGACUACGGUGAAACCUGGGGACCGCAAGGCCUGGGGCUAAAAGAGGAUCCUGCGUCUGAUUAGCUAGUUGGCGGGGUAAUGGCCCACCAAGGCGACGAUCAGUAGCCGGCCUGAGAGGGUGAUCGGCCACACUGGAACUGAGACACGGUCCAGACUCCUACGGGAGGCAGCAGUGGGGAAUUUUGCGCAAUGGACGAAAGUCUGACGCAGCAACGCCGCGUGGGUGAUGAAGGUCUUCGGACUGUAAAACCCUGUCGUCAGGGACGAAGGUUGGGGGGUUAAUAGCCCUUUAGCUUGACGGUACCUGGAGAGGAAGCCCCGGCUAACUCUGUGCCAGCAGCCGCGGUAAUACAGAGGGGGCAAGCGUUAUUCGGAAUUACUGGGCGUAAAGGGCGCGUAGGCGGCCGAUCAAGUCAGAUGUGAAAGCCCACGGCUUAACCGUGUGAAGUGCAUCUGAAACUGGUCGGCUUGAGUAUCGGAGAGGAAAGUGGAAUUCCCGGUGUAGAGGUGAAAUUCGUAGAUAUCGGGAGGAAUACCGGUGGCGAAGGCGACUUUCUGGACGAAUACUGACGCUGAGGCGCGAAAGCGUGGGGAGCAAACAGGAUUAGAUACCCUGGUAGUCC